AAAGGACCAACAUGGACCAGUAUUUAUUUCAUGCUGCCCUUCGGCAGUACCUACUAAGUGGGAUGUCGAUGUCGCGGUUGACUGGAAGAGAGUCAUGCAGGUGGCCAACCACUUCGCUGUAGAUGAUUUGUCCGUGCUGAUGGCCAUGCAGCAUAGUUGAAGCAGACCUGUCAGAAAACAUCUCUAAGGUGCUAUGAAUCCUAUGACUAAAUAUUACCUCAAGUACACCACUAUGUGAAAAUGGUCACUCUUGUGCAAUACAUGACCAAAUCUGAUGACUCCCAACUCCCCGACCAAAGUACUGCAGCAGUCAAUAACAUAUCCACAAGAGUUAAAUGGGGCACUUUCUAUAUGAGAGUUCAACCUUUCUGUCUUGAGAUAUUCACACCUUUCAGAUUCCCAAUUUUAUGAUAUUGUUCAGAAUUUGGUUGGAGAAACUUAGAAGAUUGGGGCAAAUGCUGUUCGGUCCAGGCUUGCAGCUAUAAAUAUUCGAGUGCCGCGAAGGAGACUUGGACUGUAUGAACCCAAGGACACUGAGACUGACAGACCCAGUUCCUGCUGCCAUGAAGCUCAUCACACCAUGAUCUACUGGCCUCCCAUCAUCGUGAUGCCCUGCCAAUGUCUGACCAGCGACCACCCGCUGCUUCCCUUUAUUUCUAAAUUUUUUAAUUCUUAAUAAAUCGUAUAGUAUAGUUUUUUAUUGGAUCGCGUAAUUCUGCUUAGUGACAACCAACCACUUACUUUAACUUUUAAUUUAAAUGAUUUAAACCUUUAACAAUAAUUCCCAUACAUUUUAAGAAUAUAGAAGGCCUAUUCAAUAUAUAGUAUAUAUUUUCUAGGAUCAGCUAGGUCUGGGUCUCUCUCAAGGGUUUUCUUUCUCCCAGUGACUUUUUCCCCAUAAGGGUUUUUUUCCUAGGAGUUUUUUAAACCCCUUGGGGUCGGCUGACAAUAGCUUAACUUAAAGAGUUACAUUACAUUAUUACUCCGCUCACUAGUACGGUUUAAUCUGAGCCGCUGUACUUUGUUGUCCUAUAAUUUUUCUCUUGUUUUUAUUAAACAAGUAACCCAACUGGAGCUGCACGCAGAGCGUUGGCCCAAAGACUGCACCGAAGAACCUAUCAUGUUGCAGGACCCAACUCAUUGUGGCACAGUGAUGGAAACUACUUAAUCUUAACAUGUUUACAAAUUUGAAUGUUUUCUUAAGUCCCUGUAAAGUCAAUUUUAAAAAAUUGUUUCUGAACACAUUAUAAAUGUUUAAAAAAUGUAUUGCAGAAAUACACAACAAAGACUAUAAACUACGUAGUUCUGAAUUGCAGAGUAAAGAUUGUGUAUUUCUGAGUUCAGGAUAUUUUAGAUGGUCCUAAAAUGGUUGCUCGAUAAUGCACUUGAGCCACCCAGCGUGGCACCGCCCCAACACAAUUGUGACCAUCCAUUCAGGUUGAAGUGGUAUUUGAAAGUUAAGAAACAGUAAGUGGGUGUUGUUUCAGCUUUGACGGCGUACAUACCACCACCGUUUGAGAGCACAAAAUACUGCCUAUUUUUCCAAGAUUUUGAUAACUUAGUUUAAUUACUUGGUGUUUUGCAUUCAAAUUUGGUUGGUUGGUUAAUAACACAUUUUUCCAAAUACAUACUUUCAGAUAUCUCAGUGCAAGUUAUUUUCAGUUAAGACAGCUGAAACAUUCAUUUUAGUUUUGCCUUAAGCCUUAUCUGUGAAACCGGGCAUUGGUGUUCUACAUGCUAAUGUUUGAUUGUUUGGUUUUUAAAUCUUAUGUCACACCCUUCUUGAUGUUCUAAAUGUGAAUAUAUGUAUGCUUAUGUGUGCUGCAGUGCAUCAUUUUAAAUCGGCAGUUACAAACUAACUAAACUAAGUUCAGAUGACAAUAAAGAAAGUGUACAAAACUGUCUGUA